AUUACAUGCAAAUGAAAGUAAAGGAGAACUAGGAAAAUGAGAAAUAUACAAGGGAAAGAGUCGUCCCACUUUAGGUCCCUUCACGAUCAUCUUCCCCGACACUGGAUCCUGCACAACACAAUCAGAAUGAGAGAAAUGAACAUUAUAAUUACUAUCAACUAAUUGACCAAUGGAAAGUAAAUUUGUAGAAAGAUUGGGAGACACAAAAACAUUAGUUAAGGAAUCUGAAAGAUCACCAACAGCUUUGAUAGGCAAAGAACUACCUUUAGUAGUAUGAAUUUUUAGAUUCCCAUCGUAUUCUUUCACAUUGGAAAGAGGAAUAACGGUGUUGGUCAUAUGAUUAGAAGCUCCAGAGUUGAAGAACCAUGGUUUAGACGAAGUUUUAUGAGUACCUGAUAGUCCAAAGGCAGAGAAAGCAGAAUUGACCAUCUGUUGUACCAUUUCAGGGGUGAGGGUGGAUGCAGAAGCAGGAUUUGGAACAACGUGCGAAGCAGGAGGCAAUGCUGCAAAGCUAGAGGUACUAGUGGAGGCAUGAUAGGCCUCUUUUCUGGCCAAAUGGGACAAAUAGAUAUGUGAUGACCUUGUUUCUUGCAAUAAUUACAGUAUUUCUUAGGACAAUCCUGAGAAAUGUGACCGAAGGCUUUACAAUUAUAGCAGUGGAUAGCACGCAUGUCAUGACCCUUAUUCCUUCCUUGUGCUGUAUAAGCCACAGGAGCACUGAUAGUAUCCACAUGCUCCAUGGUAGCCUGAGUAAGUAGACGUUGGUCCUCACGAAGAAGUUCACCCAAGCAAGUAUCCAGAGAUGGUACAGGUUGACGAUUCAUCAGAUUGGACCGUGCAGCCUCAAAUUCGGGACGUAGCUUCAUCAAGAAUUGAUCCCUCUUGCUUGUCUCAUGCACUGUUUGAAUAGCAGAUAGGGCUACCGCGGGAACAUUAGCAUAAACUAUAUCUGAAUAUUCAGUCCAAAGAUUUUGAAAACUUGAAAAGUAUUCUUCAAUCGAAAGACUUCCUUGUGUAAAAGUAGCAAUCUCAUACUUCAAUUGAAAUCGUCGAGCUGUGUUGUCUUGUUUGUAAACCUUACUAAUGUAAUCCCACAUAGCAACAGCAGUUUUGUAAGGUCUCAGAUUGAGAAUAAGGUGUGGUUCGACUGAACUAAGGAUCCAAGUCAUAACUUGAGCAUCCUUAAUUUCCCACUUCGACAAAGCCUCAACAUCUUUAGGAGCGGGAUCACUACCAUCAAGAUGUCCCCACAACUCUUUUCCUUUCACAAAUAAUUGGAAUUGGAAUUCCUAAGCCGAAUAAUUUUUUCCAUUGAAGCGGAUAAUAAAUGAGUCUAACUUAUCAAUUGACAUGAUGAAUAAAUUAUUCAACCAAAUGAAGAACCCAGACCAAAAAAAAAUUAAAUCGCGUGCUGAAAUUGAAAUAAAUUAACGAGCCGAAACUGAAACAGAGCCACAGACAGCAAUUAGUCAACCACCACAGUCCGACUUCAAGAAACGCACUAGGCACCUACACAAUACACCCAAGAAACGGAGGCAAAACCUACUGAAACUUCGAGAGAAAUCGAAAAUAUGUAGAAGACAAUCGGCGACUGAACGUAGAAGACAAUCGGCAACCGAACGCAGAAGACAAUCGAACCUGAAAUACGCAAAAGGGUGACCGAACCCACACGCCCAACACCUGAAACGGAGAUCUCCCGGAGAGUCACCGACGAUGGUCCCCAAUACACCGAACGAGGCGAGAUUCACAACAGGUAAGAGCUUAGAACCCUAACUCUGAUACCACGACAAAAAGGCCAAGCAAAUUGCGUGAAAUUUCUGUCCAAAAAAACCUCCUUUACAUUGUGUUGUGUAUUUUAUAUAUAUUUACAGUUAUUUGAUCUAAAAGGAAACUAAAUAAAUUAAAGAUACAAUCCCUGACAAUUAGCAACAAAUCAUUCUUCUUCCAAAUAUUCGCUGGUAUAUAUGGUAACAGCUAUAACUAGGGAUGUCAAUUGGGAUGGCUCGGCUCGCGGCUCGCUUGGCUCGCCAUUUAGACGAGCCAUGAGCCGUUAAAAAUAACGAGCCA
rnacentral:lncRNA from 1 species